rnacentral:rRNA from 1 species
AGUUAAGUGACUAAGCGUACAAGGUGGAUGCCUUGGCAAUCAGAGGCGAAGAAGGACGUGCUAAUCUGCGAAAAGCUUGGAUGAGUCGAUAAGAGGCGUUUAAUCCAAGAUAUCCGAAUGGGGAAACCCAGUAGAUGAAGAAUCUACUAUCAACAAGUGAAUUCAUAGCUUGUUGAGGCAAACCGGGAGAACUGAAACAUCUAAGUACCCCGAGGAAAAGAAAUCAACCGAGAUUUCGUCAGUAGCGGCGAGCGAAAGCGAAAGAGCCAGUAAGUGAUAGCAGUAUGGUUAGGAGAAUGUGUUGGGAAGCACAAUCAAAGAGGGUGAUAAUCCCGUAUCUAAAAACCAUAUUGUGGUACUAAGCUAACGAGAAGUAGGGCGGGACACGUGAUAUCCUGUUUGAAGAAGGGGGGACCAUCCUCCAAGGCUAAAUACUCCUGAUUGACCGAUAGUGAACCAGUACUGUGAAGGAAAGGCGAAAAGAACCCCGGUGAGGGGAGUGAAAUAGAACCUGAAACCUUGUACGUACAAGCAGUGGGAGC